rnacentral:rRNA from 1 species
UCGGAGGCGAUGAAGGACGUGAUAAGCUGCGAUAAGCUGCGGGUAGGUGCAAAUAACCUUUGAUCCGCAGAUUUCCGAAUGGGGCAACCCAAUACAUUGAAGAUGUAUUAUACCUUCGGGUAAGCAAACGCAGGGAACUGAAACAUCUAAGUACCUGUAGGAAAAUAAAACAACAGUGAUUCCCCCAGUAGUGGCGAGCGACCGGGGAACAGCCCAAACCACGAUUGUUUCGGCAUUUGUGGGGUAGUAGGACUGCGAUAUUGUAGUAAUAAAUGAAAUGGAACGUUUUGGAAAAAGCGAUCAUAGAGGGUGAUAGUCCCGUACAUAUAAGUUUAUGAUACAUAGCAGAAUCCUGAGUAAGGCGGGACACGAGAAAUCCUGUCUGAAUCAGCCGGGCCCAUCCGGCAAGGCUAAAUACUAGUGAGAGACCGAUAGUGAACCAGUACUGUGAAGGAAAGGUGAAAAGAACCCCGAACAGGGGAGUGCAAUAGUCCCUGAACCCAUUCGCUUACAAGCUGUCGGAGCCCUUUUUGGGGUGACGGCGUGCCUUUUGCAUAAUGAGCCUACGAGUUACUCAUCACCAGCGAGGUUAAGUACUUCAGGUACGUAAGCCGAAGCGAAAGCGAGUCUGAAUAGGGCGUCAAGUUGGUGGUGGUAGACGCGAAACCUUAGUGAUCUACCCAUGAGCAGGUUGAAGGUUUGGUAACACAAACUGGAGGACCGAACCGAUAAGCGUUGAAAAGCUUCCGGAUGACUUGUGGGUAGGGGUGAAAGGCCAAUCAAACUGGGAAAUAGCUCGUACUCUCCGAAAUGCAUUUCGGUGCAGCCUGUGAUGUUCUGUUCCAGAGGUAGAGCUACUGGUUGGACGCGAGGGCUUCACCGCCUAUCAAAUCCGGAUAAACUCCGAAUGCUGGAACACGAAAUCAUGGAGUGAGCCCGCGGGUGCUAAGGUCCGCGGACGAGAGGGAAAGAACCCGGACCACCGGCUAAGGUCCCGGAUGGACAGUUAAGUUGAUCAAACGAGGUGGGAUCGCUGAGACAGCUAGGAUGUUGGCUUGGAAGCAGCCAUUCAUUUAAAGAGUGCGUAACAGCUCACUAGUCGAGCGGUUCUGCAUGGAUAAUACACGGGCAUAAGCAUAUAACCGAAGCUAUGGGAUUGUAGAUGAUACAAUCGGUAGGAGAGCAUUCCAUUCAGCAUAGAAGCAGUAUCGUGAGGUAUUGUGGAGCGGAUGGAAAAGCAAAUGUAGGCAUAAGUAACGAUAAUGCGGGUGAGAACCCCGCACGCCGAAAGGUCAAGGAUUCCCCGGCAAUGUCAAUCAACCGGGGGUAAGUCGGGUCCUAAGUCGAAGCCGAAGGGCGUAGACGAUGGCCAACAGGUUAAUAUUCCUGUACUCAUAUAUGCUGCGAUGCAGGGACGUAGUAGUGACACCGCUGCGUACAGACGAAAUAGUACGUUGAAGCCUUUAUCUGUCGAUGCUGAUAGUUAAGUACGUCAGCAGAGGAGAUGGGUGAUAGUACCGCAAGGCUUCGGCUGCGCGGAUAAUGCGGGUAAUCAGACUACCAAGAAAAUCUGCUAAGCUUCAGGCAUAUAUGACCCGUACUGUAAACGGACACACGUGACCGGGUAGAGAAUACUAAGGCGCUCGAGAUAUUCAUGGCUAAGGAACUAGGCAAAAUGGUCCUGUAACUUCGGGAUAAAGGACGCUGGGGUAAAAUCCAGCCGCAGUAAAAUGGCCCAGGCGACUGUUUACCAAAAACACAUGGCUAUGCUAAAUCGUAAGAUGAUGUAUAUGGCCUGACACCUGCCCGGUGCUGGAAGGUUAAGAGGAGGGUUUAGUAGCAAUACGACGAUCUGAAUUGAAGCCCCAGUAAACGGCGGCCGUAACUAUAACGGUCCUAAGGUAGCGAAAUUCCUUGUCGGGUAAGUUCCGACCUGCACGAA